AUUGAACGCUGGCGGCAUGCCUUACACAUGCAAGUCGAACGGUAACGCGGGGCAACCUGGCGACGAGUGGCGAACGGGUGAGUAAUAUAUCGGAACGUGCCCAGUAGUGGGGGAUAGCCC
rnacentral:rRNA from 1 species